rnacentral:sRNA from 1 species
GCUGGGUGUGGUGGUGCACGCCUAUAAUCCCGGUGUCUUUGGAGGCUGAGGCAGGAGAAAGGCGAAUUCAAAGCUAGUCUCAGCAAAAGCGAGGAAGGGGAAGCAAGUCUGUGAGAUCCUGUCUCUA